UACGAAGGGGGCUAGCGUUGCUCGGAAUUACUGGGCGUAAAGGGAGCGUAGGCGGACAUUUAAGUCAGAGGUGAAAUCCCGGAGCUUAACUUCGGAACUGCCUUUGAUACUGGGUGUCUUGAGUGUGAGAGAGGUAUGUGGAACUCCGAGUGUAGAGGUGAAAUUCGGUAGAUAUUGGGAAGAACACCGGUGGCGAAGGCGGCCAUCUAGACCGCAACUGACGCUGAGGCGCGAAAGCGUGGGGAGCAACAGG
rnacentral:rRNA from 1 species